AGGUUUUGUAGUGUAAAAAACAUAUUAGAUUGCAAAUUUAUAGAUGUGGGUAGGUAGCCCGCCAAAACUUUCCA
rnacentral:tRNA from 1 species